AUCACAAACAUAUUCCAACAUACAUCGCGUUUUUCACAUCUGCACGUACUUUAUUAUAUAGCGUCCAGCGCCCGACUGACAUCAAACCAAGUUUAUCCAGGAAUGGGUUUCGGCAACAUGCAAACGAGGCCAAACAGAGAUAUGAGUAGAAUGAUGUUGCCUUUUAUGAUGGGAGGGGGAGAUGCCUUUGACGCGAUGGAAGACAUGAUGCCAAUGAUGAUGAUGAAUAGAAUGUUUUAAUAAAAAGUGCUAUACC